UACGAAGGGGGCUAGCGUUGCUCGGAAUCACUGGGCGUAAAGCGCACGUAGGCGGCUUCUUAAGUCAGGGGUGAAAUCCUGGAGCUCAACUCCAGAACUGCCUUUGAUACUGAGAAGCUUGAGGGCGGGAGAGGUCGGUGGAAUUCCCGGUGUAGUGGUGAAAUGCGUAGAGAUCGGGAGGAACACCUGUGGCGAAGGCGGCCGACUGGGCCGACCCUGACGCUGAGGCGCGAAGGCGUGGGGAGCGAACGGG
rnacentral:rRNA from 1 species